rnacentral:tRNA from 1 species
UCCCUGGGAGUCCAGUGGUAGGACUUUGUACUCCCAAUGCAAGGGGCAUGAGUUCAAUCCCUGGUCAGGGAA